UAGGGAGACCUACCCACUCAGAUACCGAGAUAGAUAAAUAUAGAGGUAAUGAGUUGGUCAACCUAGGUCGGUCGCAGGAAUGUUUAGGCUUUCAAAGUAUUAGUGGUUCGGUUCCGAAACAAAAAAUACCAAAGGAAAAGACAGCACCUAUUUGACAGGAAUAGAAUGCUGGGUGAAAUCCUAGCCAGAACCUUGAAAACUGCAUAGAAACGCGAGAUUUUAGCAGGCAGACACAGACAUAAUCAAGAAAGUGUUUGCAUGGAAAAAACCAAUUGUUAAGU
rnacentral:misc_RNA from 1 species